UAGGGAAUCUUCCACAAUGGACGCAAGUCUGAUGGAGCAACGCCGCGUGAGUGAAGAAGGUUUUCGGACCGUAAAGCUCUGUUGUUGGUGAAGAAGGAUAGAGGUAGUAACUGGCCUUUAUUUGACGGUAAUCAACCAGAAAGUCACGGCUAACUACGUGCCAGCAGCCGCGGUAAUACGUAGGUGGCAAGCGUUGUCCGGAUUUAUUGGGCGUAAAGCGAGCGCAGGCGGAAGAAUAAGUCUGAUGUGAAAGCCCUCGGCUUAACCGAGGAAUUGCAUCGGAAACUGUUUUUCUUGAGUGCAGAAGAGGAGAGUAGAACUCCAUGUGUAGCGGUGGAAUGCGUAGAUAUAUGGAAGAAUACCAGUGGCGAAGGCGGCUCUCUGGUCUGCAACUGACGCUGAGGCUCGAAAGCAUGGGUAGCGAACAGGAUUAGAUACCCUGGUAGUCCAUGCCGUAAACGAUGAGUGCUAAGUGUUGGGAGGCUUCCGCCUCUCAGUGCUGCAGCUAAACGCAUUAAGCACUCCGCCUGGGGGAGUACGACCGCAAGGUUGAAAC
rnacentral:rRNA from 1 species